GGAGAUUUUCCAUUGCCUUCUGGAUUUUGAGUCGUUGGAGUAGAUGAUAUUGAAGGAGGAGGUUGUGGUCGAAUAAUAUGUUGGGUGAGAGUGAGUUAGAGGAGUGCUAGAAGAAUGUAAAGUUGGUACAAAUAAUCGCAAAUCUAAUGGUAAAGAUUUUGCAUGCAAGGGGAAAAGGGAAUAUUGGGGAAGAUGAUUAUUGUGAUUGAUGGAAUGUUUGGAUUUACCAUUUGGCCAGAGACCUCUGCCAAGUGCUGAACGAGUUCUAGAUCUUUAGAUGGGAAUGAGGUAUUAUGUGUUUAGGGAGAGAGGUUUGAGUUGUCAAGUAGAUUCGGGUUUUCUUGCAUGGUUUGGGGUUACCACUUGUCUCCAUAGGAGUGUCUUGGUUAGUAGUGUCCAUGUGGUACUUUGGACUUAACUGAAGAAAUUAAUCGAAACAGGAGGAGGUGUUUGGAGUUACACUAGAGAUGCCAAAAUUCUAGAGUAAUGAAGGAAUCAAGUUUAUUAUAGGUAGGCAUUAAACCUUCUUCCUUUUUUGUAGGAGGAAGUCCCUUUUUAAUAUUAUUAGGUUCAUUAAUGGUGGAAGAAGUAGGAGCAUUUUGAAUCUUUGUAGAUUAGUUUUUGAUAGUUGAGAUACUUACUUUUUGAUGCAUCAUAGAUUUUAACAUUUAUACUGUUACCUGGUGCAAUAAUUUUUGGCAGAG
rnacentral:lncRNA from 1 species